ACACAAGGAAGGAGGUGGUCCGCGAAAUUGAUAGCUUCAUGGACAUGUGCGAAAUUGAUAGCUUCAUGGACAUGUGAGGUGGCUGGGCGCUAGCUGCGCCGGCUUUCGAAGAGCCGGCGUUAUUUGUGCGCUGGCGAAUUCCCCGUAGUCACCCGGCCCCCGAGCUUCGGGUUGUUGUCCGACCAGGAACACGGCUCGGGGGCCGCUCCAU
rnacentral:sRNA from 22 species